AUAAGAUUAGUUUGGCAUGAUCUCCCUGAAGUAAACCCAUGUUGUCUCUGAUCUUGAAAUCCAUGUUUUUAGAUGUUCAACAAUCCUAUCCUUUAACAUGGUUUCCAUCACUUUCCCCACUACUGAAGUAAGGCUUACUGGCCUAUAGUUGCCCGACUCCUCCCUAUUACCUUUCUUGUGAAUAGGCACAACAUUCGCUAACUUCCAAUCUUCUGGGACUACUCCUGUUAA